GGUAGACAACAAGCUAAUGACUUCUUCCCACCAGCUCAAGAACAGUAACUUCAAAACUGGUACUGCUGAAGGAGCCUGUAUGAGAAGAUAACAGCACUAAUCACUGCACAGCAGUGAGAGGAGAUCGUAAGGCAGGGAGAAGAUUAAACAGAAUUACAUACAGGACAGCUUCUGAGACAAACUAGACUAUGUGUGAUUUUUGGACAUCAGAGAAGAAAUACACAAUUUUCAAUGAGCUGGUGAAAUGGCAUCCGUUCCUUGGCCAGCAUCCCUUGAAAAAAGACAAUGAUUGGAUUUAAUGAAGAAGAAAAACACAAGGAAUGGGACAAGGAAUUGGAGUUCACAUAAGCAAUAUCAGCAAGAAUAUUUACAUCAGAGCUAGCAGUCCUAUCCAGCACAUCAGAAGCCAGCCAAGAUUAGCAGAAGCGAAGGACUGCCAUCUCACACUAUACCAUCUUUUACUGCAAAGACAGGACACCU